rnacentral:lncRNA from 1 species
GGGGAGGGGUGGUUAUUUGUUUUGCAUCCACACCAUACAUAAUUUUCUAGUCACGGCAACAACCCAUGUUGAUAUCUCACAUUGUGGCUCUAAUACAGGCGGACCACCCACAUGGCUACUUUGUCUUCACCAAUGGGUAUGAAUGUCAUCCCAAAUCAUCAAUGCUACAGGUAAUCAGACUUCCAUUGCAUUUUAUGGCCUCGGUUCCACGAGUACUCAGACUUCCCCUGCACCUAUAGUUAGAAACCCAAUAAUAAUGGAAAAUCUUAUCUA